ACUCCUACGGGAGGCAGCAGUGGGAAUAUUGCACAAUGGGGAAGCCAUCGAUGCAGCAACGACCGCGUGAGUGAUGACGGUCUUCGGAUUGUAAAGCUCUGUCUUCAGGGACGAUAAUGACGGUACCUGAGGAGGAAGCCACGGCUAACUACGUGCCAGCAGCCGCGGUAAUACGUAGGUGGCAAGCGUUGUCCGGAUUUACUGGGCGUAAAGAGCUCGUAGGCGGUUCAGUAAGUCGGGUGUGAAAAAUCUGGGCUCAACCCAGUGCAGCACCCGAUACUGCUGUGACUAGAGUCCGGUAGGGGAGUGUGGAAUUCCUGGUGUAGCGGUGAAAUGCGCAGAUAUCAGGAGGAACACCGACAGCGAAGGCAGCACUCUGGGCCGGUACUGACGCUGAGGAGCGAAAGCAUGGGGAGCAAACAGGAUUAGAUACCCUGGUAGGUCAGUC
rnacentral:rRNA from 1 species